rnacentral:lncRNA from 1 species
GUCUCCCAAUUUGUUCAUCAUCGUCAAGCCCUCCCAAUCGUCCAAACUCUCCAGACGUCUUCAACCCCCUAACCCAAAAAUCAUCCACCAACUAAAUAUUAAAGCCCACCACCACCACCACCACAGCCAGCCAUGAUGAAGAUUAGAUCAUCCAAAUUGAACCUUAGAUUACGGUCAAAUUAAAACCCCAAUUGCUACUUUCUUCCCAAUUAAAACCCAAAAAAUUAAAAUUAUUCCCCACUGUAAGAUAAAGGUGAAGAAACCGUACUGAGAAGCCAUUAACAAGGCUGACGGCAUGGGAAGAGGCUGGAGAGGUCAGAGUGGCCGUGGUGGAGGAGAACUGGGCAAGGGUGGCUGGGGUGAUAGCGCCGUGGCCUCGCAUAUGAUGUUGUUGUCGAAGGCUUCAAAAAUGUAUGUGGCAAUUUAAGUUGGGUAUGUGGGCAUAAUUUUUCGACACCCAGUUUGUGAUUGCAGUCCUAAUUUGGUUAAUGAAUAUAUUGGGAUGAUUUUGAGAAAAUCCUAAUAUGAAGAUGAAAGAUGAAACGUUUGGUGGGUAUUUCGCGAAAUGGGCAGAUUAUGGGAGAGGAUGGAGAGGUUUGGUGUGGAAGUAACAUUGAGUACACAGAUUUUGCAGUUUUCAACUACAACAAGACUCAAAUUUUUUAUUUUUUAUUUUUGCUUAAAGGAGAUAUGCAUAUUACAAUCUCCAUUGAAGGAGAGAUUGAUUAUGAAGUUAAUGGGUAGUAAAUUGAGGUUGAUAAUUUAUAAAAUAAAGUUUUUCUUUCCUUA